UACGGAAGGUGCGAGCGUUGUUCGGAUUGACUGGGCGUAAAGAGCACGUAGGCGGAUCUGUAAGUCGACUGUGAAAGCCCCGGGCUUAACCUGGGAAUUGCAGCCGAAACUACAGGUCUUGAAUGCCCGAGAGGUUGGUGGAAUUCCAGGUGUAGAAGUGAAAUUCGUAGAUAUCUGGAGGAACAUCAGAGGCGAAGGCGGCCAACUGGUGGCGCAUUGACGCUGAGGUGCGAAAGCGCGGGGAGCAAACAGG
rnacentral:misc_RNA from 1 species